ACCAUUUGUGAAAUAAGUCAUUUUAUGGACCUGUCUAGCAAGGUAGAUGCAUUGUCCCAUAAGAUUGACCAACUGAUGAUAGGAGGACAUGUCGUUAGCUCUUCCCAAGCACAAGUGUUCUAGCCCAUCGCAUCUUAUUCAUGAGUGCCCCUCAGCACCCCAAUUCCCCGAACUCCUGCAAGAACACAUCAAUGCUGCUCAAACA
rnacentral:lncRNA from 1 species